rnacentral:rRNA from 1 species
GAUCCUGGGCUCAGGAUGAACGCUAGCGGCAGGCCUAACACAUGCAAGUCGAGGGGUAGAGUGCUUCGGCACGUUGGACCGGCGCACCUGCGUAACAGCNACAAUCUACCUUUUGCUAAGGGAUAGCCCGAAGAAAUUUGGAUUAAUACCUUAUAGUAUUGUUUGGUGGCAUCACCUGAAUAAUUAAAGCUCUGGUGGCAAAAGAUGAGUACGCCGUCCCAUUAGCUAGUUGGUGUGGUAACGGCUACCAGGCUCGAUGGGUAGGGGCCUGAGGGAGUUCCCCCACACUGGUACUGAGACACGGACCAGACUCUACGGGAGGCGCAGUGAGGAAUAUUGGACAAUGGUCGGAAGACUGAUCCACUCAUGCCGCGUGCAGGAUGACGGCCCUUAUGGGUUGUAAACUGCUUUUAUACAGGAAGAAUAAGGUCUACAGUGUUGAUGACGGUCUGUAUGAAUAAGCAUCGGUAACUCCGUGCCCAGCAAGCCCGGGUAAACGGAGGAUGCAGGCGUUAUCCGGAAUCAUUGGGUUUAAAGGGUCCGUGAGGCGGCCUUAUAAGUCAGAGGUGAAAGCACUGAGCCUCAACUGAGUAACUGCCUUUUGAAAACGUCGGUCUUGAAUGUUUUGUGAAGUAGCCUGGCAAUGUGUAUGUACGNUGAAAUGCUUAGUAUUACCCAGAACACCCGUUUGCGAAGGCUGUUACUUAACAAAUUUUGCUGAUGGACAAAGCCGUGGGGAGCGAACAAGAUUAAUACCCCUGGUGCCCACGCUUAAACAUGGAUACUACUGUUUGGGAAGAUUUUGGGGCUAAGCGAAAGUGAUAAGUAUCCCCCCUGGGGAGUACGCACGCAAGUGUGAAACUCAAAGGAAUUGACGGGGGCCCGCACAAGCGGUGGAGCAUGUGGUUUAAUUCGAUGAUACGCGAGGAACCUUACCAAGGUUUAAAUGGGAAAC